rnacentral:rRNA from 1 species
AGAACGAACGCUGGCGGCAGGCCUCAAACAUGCAAGUCUAGGGGGUGUAGCAAUACAUCACCGGCGGACGGGUGCGUAACGCGUGGGAAUGUACCUAUUGGUUCGGAACAACUGAGGGAAACUUCAGCUAAUACCGGAUGAGCCCGAAAGGGGAAAGAUUUCUCGCCAAUAGAUCAGCCCGCGUCCGAUUAGCUAGUUGGUGGGGUUAAAGCCUACCAAGGCGACGAUCGGUAGCUGUUCUGAGAGGAAGAUCAGCCACACUGGGACUGAGACACGGCCCAGACUCCUACGGGAGGCAGCAGUUGGGAAUCUUGGACAAUGGGGGAAACCCUGAUCCAGCCAUGCCGCGUGAGUGAUGAAGGCCUUCGGGUUGUAAAACUCUUUCGACGGGGACGAUAAUGACGGUACCCGUAGAAGAAGCUCCGGCUAACUUCGCGCCAGCAGCCGC